rnacentral:rRNA from 1 species
CGCCGGCGAGUGGCGAACGGGUGAGUAAUGCAUCGGAACGUACCCAGUAGUGGGGGAUAACUUACCGAAAGGUAAGCUAAUACCGCAUACGCACUGAGGUGGAAAGCAGGGGACCGCAAGGCCUUGCGCUAUUGGAGCGGCCGAUGUCGGAUUAGCUAGUUGGUGGGGUAAAGGCCUACCAAGGCGACGAUCCGUAGCGGGUCUGAGAGGAUGAUCCGCCACACUGGAACUGAGACACGGUCCAGACUCCUACGGGAGACAGCAGUGGGGAAUUUUGGACAAUGGGCGCAAGCCUGAUCCAGCCAUGCCGCGUGAGUGAAGAAGGCCUUCGGGUUGUAAAGCUCUUUCGGCCGGGAAGAAAUCGUGGUGGCGAAUACCUGCCAUGGACGACGGUACCGGACUAAGAAGCACCGGCUAACUACGUGCCAGCAGCCGCGGUAAUACGUAGGGUGCGAGCGUUAAUCGGAAUUACUGGGCGUAAAGCGUGCGCAGGCGGUUGUGUAAGACAGGCGUGAAAUCCCCGGGCUCAACCUGGGAACUGCGCUUGUGACUGCACGGCUAGAGUACGGCAGAGGGGGGGGUGGAAUUCCACGUGUAGCAGUGAAAUGCGUAGAGAUGUGGAGGAACACCGAUGGCGAAGGCAGCCCCCUGGGUCGAUACUGACGCUCAUGCACGAAAGCGUGGGGAGCAAACAGGAUUAGAUACCCUGGUAGUCCACGCCCUAAACGAUGUCGACUAGUUGUUGGGAGGGGUAAAACCCUUUAGUAACGUAGCUAACGCGUGAAGUCGACCGCCUGGGG